AGUGAACGCUGGCGGUAGGCCUAACACAUGCAAGUCGAACGGCAGCACAGGAGAGCUUGCUCUCUGGGUGGCGAGUGGCGGACGGGUGAGGAAUACAUCGGAAUCUGCCCAGUCGUGGGGGAUAACGUAGGGAAACUUACGCUAAUACCGCAUACGACCUUCGGGUGAAAGAGGGGGAUCGCAAGACCUCUCGCGAUUGGAUGAGCCGAUGUUGGAUUAGCUAGUUGGCGGGGUAAUGGCCCACCAAGGCGACGAUCCGUAGCUGGUCUGAGAGGAUGAUCAGCCACACUGGAACUGAGACACGGUCCAGACUCCUACGGGAGGCAGCAGUGGGGAAUAUUGGACAAAGGGCGCAAGCCUGAUCCAGCCAUACCGCGUGGGUGAAGAAGGCCUUCGGGUUGUAAAGCCCUUUUGUUGGGAAAGAAAUCUUUCAGGCUAAUACCCUGGGAGGAUGACGGUACCCAAAGAAUAAGCACCGGCUAACUUCGUG
rnacentral:rRNA from 1 species